rnacentral:rRNA from 1 species
CUCGUAGGCGGUUCGAUAAGUCGGCUGUGAAAUCUCCACGCUUAACGUGGAGGGGUCAGUCGAUACUGUCGUGACUCGAGUCCGGUAGGGGAGAAUGGAAUUCCCGGUGUAGCGGUGAAAUGCGCAGAGAUCGGGAGGAACACCCGUAGCGAAGGCGGUUCUCUGGGCCGGUACUGACGCUGAGGAGCGAAAGCGUGGGGAGCAAACA